rnacentral:rRNA from 1 species
CUACGGGUGGCACCAGUCACGGAAACUUUACGAUGCGCGAAAGCGUGAUAAGGGUAUCCCAAGUGCUUUGCUUAUUGUAAGGCUUUUGCCAAGUGUAAAGAGCUUGGCGAAUAAGUGGUGGGUAAGACUGGUGCCAGCCGCCGCGGUAACACCAGCGCCACAAGUGGUAACCACGUUUAUUGGGCCUAAAGCGUUCGUAGCCGGUUUGAUAAGUUUCUUGUGAAAUUGUUUGGCCUAACCAAACAACGUGCAAGAAAUACUGUCUAACUUGGGACCGGGAGGAGUUAGAGGUAUUCCAUGGGGAGCGGUAAAAUGCUAUAAUCCUUGGAGGACCACCAAUGGCGAAGGCUUCUAACUAGAACGGAUCCGACGGUCAGGAACGAAGGCUAGGGGAGCAAAACGGAUUAGAUACCCUCGUAGUC